rnacentral:rRNA from 1 species
UGGAGAGUUUGAUCCUGGCUCAGGACGAACGCUGGCGGCGUGCUUAACACAUGCAAGUCGAACGGAAAGGCCCUUCGGGGUACUCGAGUGGCGAACGGGUGAGUAACACGUGGGUGAUCUGCCCUGCACUUUGGGAUAAGCCUGGGAAACUGGGUCUAAUACCGAAUAUGACCGCGCUCUUCAUGGGGUGUGGUGGAAAGCUUUUGCGGUGUGGGAUGGGCCCGCGGCCUAUCAGCUUGUUGGUGGGGUAAUGGCCUACCAAGGCGACGACGGGUAGCCGGCCUGAGAGGGUGACCGGCCACACUGGGACUGAGAUACGGCCCAGACUCCUACGGGAGGCAGCAGUGGGGAAUAUUGCACAAUGGGCGCAAGCCUGAUGCAGCGACGCCGCGUGAGGGAUGACGGCCUUCGGGUUGUAAACCUCUUUCAAUAGGGACGAAGCGCAAGUGACGGUACCUAUAGAAGAAGGACCGGCCAACUACGUGCCAGCAGCCGCGGUA